AACCUUUAUCAUAUACGAAACAAAACAAAUUUACAAUCAUUUUAAACUUGAUAAUUUUUUUAUUUAACAACCUAUCUGUAUCGAAUGCUAUAUACAUACUUCAGAGGUUUUGAAUGAGGUUAUUUUCGAUAUUUUCAUUUUUAUUAUGAUAUUGACAUGGUACUAAUACUUUAAUACUUUACUAAUAAACUAAUACUUUGCUCCUAGACAAAGAAUUACUAUUGUCACGUCUAGUUAUACAAUGUGAAUGUAAAAUAUAUUGUUACAUGUCAAACUUGUUUUGUCAUGUGUCAUCUGACGUUGUCCCGGUGAAAGGGACAGACAUGUCAGACCUUAACACACGGUUCAGAAAUCAAGUGUCGGUACCAGAUGAAUCUGCGUCCAUAACGACCCUUAUGUCUUGACUGGUUGUUAACUUGACAGAAAAGCAAAGGAUGGAGAUACUGAAGACUCAUAACGGUUGUCUGAUAACCCCAGUCCCGCAUUACUGACACACUAUUCCUACCAAAAGGACUUGUAAAGACAUAGCAGUUGCAAGAAAUCACAAAAAAAGAUUAGUGGAUUGGAAGAGUUGGAUGUGCUCUCUGAACAGGGAUCUGAAAUGCCUGCUAUAUUGUAAACACACCGAUAUCAGCGAGUGCAAUACUUACUAGACAUGACGACUUUUUGCGGAUGUUUGAAAUGGUUUAUAUGAUAAACCUCCGAAACUACCAUCGACUGUGUCCUCACUUAUAAUCGGCCUCUAGGAGAGAGGGGGUUGUCUAACUGUCUUGUGAAACAACAGUCACAUACCAACCUUUCAUGCUUCCUUUAGAUUGUUUAUUUCGCAAAUAUUUCACGGUAAAUAUAUAAUAUUCAAAUGCAUUUAAGUAUAGUUAUUAGUUGUCAUAAAGGUAUUCUAUAUAUAUAUACAUAUAUAAAUAAUACAUACUAGUCAUCUGUUGGCGCCGGUUCAGCGUUAAACUCGAGACUACUUUGCACUUGCCUUUGAACACAGGUUUCCGGAAACUCCGGUUUUUCCUGGGCGGCGGGUUGAGUCGAUGACGGUGUACAGUGAUAAUUAAAACUAGGUAACUCACAAAGAGAUUUUAACCCCUGUCUAAUUAAGACGAUGUAGGAUGUAGAACAUCAGAAAUGUGUUAUCAGAUAUGCUUUUCAUAUUAACAAUAAUAUAUUAAAACCAUAUUCGAAUUUGUUG